GACGUAGGGCGCGAGCGUUGUCCGGAUUUAUUGGGCGUAAAGAGCUCGUAGGCGGCUUGUCGCGUCGGCUGUGAAAACCCGCGGCUCAACUGUGGGCGGGCAGCUGAUACGGGCAGGCUGGAGUUCGGUAGGGGAGACUGAAAUUCCUGGUGUAGCGGUGAAAUGCGCAGAUAUCAGGAGGAACACCGGUGGCGAAGGCGGGUCUCUGGGCAGUAACUGACGCUGAGGAGCGAAAGCGUGGGGAGCGAACAGG
rnacentral:rRNA from 1 species